UUCACUUUAGUACCAUAUGAUUUAAAGUGUAUUAAUUUGUCUUCCUGUGGUUUUGUUUUUAUCUUUUUGGCAGCUUUUUUUUAAUAUUUCGUUAAAUUAUAUACAAAAAACUUCAGAUACCCAUCUAGAUUUAUCGAAUAUUUUAUUUAGUACCUUUUAAUUUUAACUUUGUCACUGAUUUAAGAAAAAAAAUUGAUAAUAAAAAGAGAAAAACGAAACCACAGGGGACAAAUUGAUGCACUUUAAAUCAUAGGGUACUAAAGUGAGAAAGUACGAAACAACAGGGGUUUUUUUGAAGUUAU
rnacentral:lncRNA from 1 species